rnacentral:lncRNA from 1 species
GAGUUUAGGCGAAUCCCAUGCGAUGGGGCAAACCUCAGCGAGGACGCUGAGUCCAUAAGAGGGGGUGUAUGUAACACACCAGACUUUAGACAAAGUCUCACAUCGGCAAAACACGAGAGGGAUGUUGGGUAUAUAAGUUAACAAGUUUUAAACCCUAGUGACGCGUUUUAAACCGGUGAAGGCCUAGGCCUAGGCCCAGAGCGGACAAUAUAACUAGCGGGUUGGGCUGUUACAUAGGCCGAGGCAAAAGGUCCAGGUAUGAUCAUUAUGUGCUAGGUAGAUAUCCGCAUAGUGUUUCACUAAACCAAGCAACUUAGGUUAAGUGAUAAAUGUGUGGAUGAAAGAAACAUAUCUCGCAUUCAGUCAUUUGGUGUAAAUACAGGAUGUUGCUAAGUUUUUACCUCAGUGCUAACGUCUACAUUAGAUAGUCCCAUCUCGCUAACUGCAUAGGCGGAGUCAGGAUUUGAAAUUUGUUGGUUCAGGAUUCUAAAUUGCUUAAGUUAGUGGGUUCUAAAUUAGAAAUUUAUACAUAUUCAAUAGAUCUCUUAAAACAAAUAUAAGAUUUGAACAAAAGCUACUGGGUUCGGCCGAAUCCGUAGCUCGUGCGCUAGCUCCGCCCCUGGUCAAUCCAGUAGCUUUUGUUUAAACUUUAAAACCUAGUUUUUAGCACUUUAAAAUUACAUCUUUAUCAAUAUUUAUCACUCUUUUAAGGUAGGGUUAAUUAGGAGCUGGAAAUGUAGAGAUCUUUCACUUUCAACAUCUCUGGACCAGCAAGAUGCAUGCAAACAGAAGCGGAGCCAGUAUAUCGGUUCUGAAUUUGUCGCGGAACCCAUAGAUCGUCUUAGUUACUGGGUUCGCAAUUAAUAUUUGUAUAUAUUUAAUGAAUUUCUUAAUAUAAAUACAAUAUUUAAGCAAAAGUGAUUGGGUUCGGCCGAACCCGCACCUAUAAGGCUAGCUCCGCCUCUGUCGCUAAGCCUUGUUGGGUAGAAUUACCAGGUAACAAUUUUUUUUUUUGAUAAGGGAAUUACCCGAUGCAAUGCUUGUGGAAGGUAGGUACCCGGUGGAAGGACAUCACCAUCAUCAUAGAAAAGAAAGAAGGAAAAGACGUCCACAGUAUCAGAACCAAAUUCCUGGUGAAAGACUUAUCGAGGCUCAAUAUAUCCUAUUUUUUAGGGAGAUCUGAGAACCAACACUUGAUACCUCGGUACGGGCUCAAGGUAAUCCGUUCUUCCAUAGCUACUGUCUAGAGCUUAUUUGCACGUUGUCAAUUUAGAAGUCUCAGCUGUACUACCUACGAACUUUUUGAUACAUUCAUCAAUUUUCUUGGAGAUGUCACCUACUGGAUGUACUAGUCUUUUUGGUGAUAUCUACAUAACAUACUUCAUAGAGGUAUGCAAGGACACAUUAGUGUGAACAUUUUCCAGUCUAGUCCAGACUUCAUUUCGAUAUGGAAACAUGAUGCACAAUAUUGCAUUUGUGCAUCUAGCAAUUCGAAUUUUACCUCAGCUCUUGCACUACAUUUCACGCCUAUUAAGAGGCUUGAUUGUCAGAAAAAAGAAUUUGUCUUACAUUCAUCAGCAGUCAAGUAUUGAAUUCCAGCAAAUCAGUUUAUAAAGGAAUGCCCGUCCGUAUUUUUGAAAGAAUUUAAUUAUUAGCUGAAGAAAUUUUAUGCUGCUCCAUUUAUAGGUCUUCAAGAAGCCAUGCGCUGAAAAGACCUCUUUGGUGGUGACACUUUUUAUUGGCUUAAGAACAAACAACUAAUAUUGAGUACUUUCUAGCGCACAAUUUGUUAUAGGCACAAGUCAUGCUCUUAACUUUUAGCAAAAAAUUUAUUUUUCAACAACUUCAAAGUGCACAUGCUUUGCUGUGUAUCCGGCUAUUUCAGUCAGAAUCCUCUUCACAGUUACAAACUUAGAAAAUUCAAGCUUGUGCUAGUUGCAGAGCUUCAUUACCAGACCUCUAUCUCUGGAGAUAUUACAAUAGGACUUCUUACUGUAUGAUUUCCAUUCUCUUCCACCCAGGUGAUUGAACCAGAUUGGACUUCUUGUUCUGCAUCGCCUGAUUCUAGAAAGUAAUCAGUUGCUAAUUCUAUAUUGCUACCAAUUUUUGCUGCUGCAAUAUUAGAUGGGUAGGCGGCUAGAAUUAACACUCCUGGUGCUAAUAUGUCUGGCUUUGCCUCUCUCAGGUAGCUUCGAGAGGGACCUCUAGCUGAGGAUGCAGAAACAACUGGAGCAGGCUUUGAGUCCAAAUGCGUCUCCAGGAAACUAAUGCUGGCCUUGGGUUCAGGAGUCUUUGUGACAUAACUCAUAACCUUUUUCGCUUCCUUGGGGGUUA